rnacentral:rRNA from 1 species
GACGAACGCUGGCGGCGUGCUUAACACAUGCAAGUCGAACGGAAAGGCCCUGCUUUUGUGGGGUGCUCGAGUGGCGAACGGGUGAGUAACACGUGAGUAACCUGCCCUUGACUUUGGGAUAACUUCAGGAAACUGGGGCUAAUACCGGAUAGGAGCUCCUGCUGCAUGGUGGGGGUUGGAAAGUUUCGGCGGUUGGGGAUGGACUCGCGGCUUAUCAGCUUGUUGGUGGGGUAGUGGCUUACCAAGGCUUUGACGGGUAGCCGGCCUGAGAGGGUGACCGGCCACAUUGGGACGGGGAUACGGCCCAGACUCCUACGGGAGGCAGCAGGGGGGAAUAUUGCACAAUGGGGGGAAGCCUGAUGCAGCAACGCCGGGUGCGGGAUGACGGCCUUCGGGUGGUAAACCGCUUUCGCCUGUGACGAAGCGUGAGUGACGGUAAUGGGUAAAGAAGCACCGGCUAACUACGUG